AUUCAACUGACGAGUCUCAAAUAAGACGAAACGUGCCUCCUAGAU
rfam:Schistosoma mansoni, Puerto Rico, WGS project CABG01000000 data, contig: 0041